AUCCCAUGCUGAGGGUAUUUUUUUAACAAUUCCUUGUACCUUUCUCAUGUGUCAUACAAGGUUUUAGAUUUUAUCUGUCUCAAAGAUGAAAUAUCACUCCUCAACUU